UUUCUACGGAGUAAUUCAAGACAAACAGUUGCAAAGAUUACACUUACAAACCGAUAAAGGCAGUGGAUGCCAGUACCAUGCUGUAUUUAACAAUAUUUUGCAUUAUUUAUGUCCAUGCCAUUUUAACACGUUUGUGUUAACUGAGAGAUUACACUGAAUCUCUGUGCUUCAUAAAAUCAAAUGACUCAUGCAUUACUGUGUACAGUAUUUUAAUUUUAUGUAUGCAUGCAAUACCCAGAUGACCGGUUAUGUUUCAAAACGUGCAGCGUGCAUCCAGAGCACACUGUGUGAGAUACAGUAUCCCACAAUGCAAUGCCUUUGACUUGACCUUGCGAUGUGAUGAACAGAUUUAAAUCUUCACACUUUUUUGACAAAUGUCGCAGGUCAUCCAAUGCAUUUCAUCAUGCAUAAAGAAAAAAAGAAAGAAAACACAUACUGUGCACAUCUUUCAUUCUGUGUUUGCCAAUACUCUCAUAAUAUACUAUUAUUUUAAAAGUAAGCAGUAUAUAGUGCGUAGGAUGCAGUACGCCAGUGUUUCUUUGUAAAGUUUGUAAACAUUAAUUUAAUGUGAUAAAUGGCUCCCUCGUGUGGCUGUACGGCUGUGCUGCAGCUGCGUCUUUGUUCUCGGGUUUCCGAAGCUGUCCGAAUGUUCCCGAAGGUUACCGUGAGUCGUACCAGUUUUUCCGCCCUGUCCGCGUCUCGGAGCCGGGGAUCUUCUUCCGUCCAUGGCCGUGCAUCCAGGCUUUAUUUACCUUCAUCUAACGCGUUCGUUUGGUGUGACGCGAGGCGGAUAGAACGCGUCAGAUCAGCAGGAGCGAAGCGACGCGCGUCUGUUUCUGCGGAGACAUUGUUACUGCGCUGGACUGAACGGGCCGAGCGAGUCCAGACCACAUCAGACCAGACCAGAGCAGAGCACAUCAGUCGUCUGGAGACAUCAGCAGAAGCAGGUUGUUUCUGCUCGUCUGUCUCGAGGUGAGCAGAGGAAGAGAGAGAGUGAGAGACACAGAUCUUUCUCUCUCUCUCUCUUCACCUCUCUGUAAGG
rnacentral:lncRNA from 1 species